rnacentral:rRNA from 1 species
AUUGAACGCUGGCGGCAGGCCUAACACAUGCAAGUCGAACGAGUGGCGGACGGGUGAGUAAUGUCUGGGAAACUGCCUGCUGGAGGGGGAUAACUACUGGAAACGGUAGCUAAUACCGCAUACCAUCGGAUGUGCCCAGAUGGGAUUAGCUGGUUGGUGGGGUAAGGGCUAACCAAGGCGACGAUCCCUAGCUGGUCGGAGAGGAUGACCAGCAACACGGGAACUGAGACACGGUCCAGACGCCGACGGGAGGCAUCAGUGGGGAAUAUUGCACAAUGGGCGCAAGCCUGAGGCAGCCAUGCCGCGGGUAUGAAGAAGGCCUUCGGGUUGUAAAGGACUUUCAGCGGGGAGGCGUUACCCGCAGAAGAAGCACCGGCUAACUCCGUGCCAGCAGCCGCGGUAAUUC